rnacentral:lncRNA from 1 species
UAGAUUGAGCCACUAUACUUGUCUCUUCAAGUUCUAGCUUAUCAUGCAUGAUACCAACACCAAUACAACCCAGGAAUGGGAUCAAUUCUAUACAAUUUACUCCAAGACUCCUCUACACCAAUUUCAUGUAAAACCCACAUGUUAAGUCACUAACCAUCCUCCAUCCUUCAGUUAUACAUUGACUAACACAAACUGUUAAAGAUUCAC